AUUCCAAGCUUGAGUUUGAUCCUGGCUCAGGAUGAACGCUGGCGGCGUGCCUAAUACAUGCAAGUCGAGCGAGGUUCUUCGGAACCUAGCGGCGGACGGGUGAGUAACACGUGGGUAACCUGCCUGUAAGACCGGGAUAACUUCGGGAAACCGAAGCUAAUACCGGAUACUUUCGAGCAUCGCAUGAUGCUUGAUGGAAAGACGGCUUCGGCUGUCACUUACAGAUGGACCCGCGUCGCAUUAGCUAGUUGGUGAGGUAACGGCUCACCAAGGCGACGAUGCGUAGCCGACCUGAGAGGGUGAUCGGCCACACUGGGACUGAGACACGGCCCAGACUCCUACGGGAGGCAGCAGUAGGGAAUCUUCGGCAAUGGGCGAAAGCCUGACCGAGCAACGCCGCGUGAGCGAUGAAGGCCUUCGGGUCGUAAAGCUCUGUUGUUAAGGAAGAACAAGUACGAGAGUAACUGCUCGUACCUUGACGGUACUUAACGAGAAAGCCACGGCUAACUACGUGCCAGCAGCCGCGGUAAUACGUAGGUGGCGAGCGUUAUCCGGAAUUAUUGGGCGUAAAGCGCGCGCAGGCGGUUUCUUAAGUCUGAUGUGAAAGCCCACGGCUCAACCGUGGAGGGUCAUUGGAAACUGGGAAACUUGAGUGCAGAAGAGGAAAGCGGAAUUCCACGUGUAGCGGUGAAAUGCGUAGAGAUGUGGAGGAACACCAGUGGCGAAGGCGGCUUUCUGGUCUGUAACUACGCUAGCGC
rnacentral:rRNA from 1 species